UACGUAGGUGGCAAGCGUUGUCCGGAUUUACUGGGCGUAAAGGGCGUGCAGGCGGUCUGUUAAGUUCAGGGUGAAAGCUCCCGGCUCAACUGGGAGAGGUCCUUGGAUACUGGCAGACUUGAGGGAGGUAGAGGAGAGUGGAAUUCCCGGUGUAGUGGUGAUAUGCGUAGAUAUCGGGAGGAACACCAGUGGCGAAGGCGGCUCUCUGGGCCUUCCUGACGCUGAGACGCGAAAGCGUGGGGAGCGAACCGG
rnacentral:rRNA from 1 species